rnacentral:rRNA from 1 species
GAUGAACGCUAGCGGCAGGCUUAACACAUGCAAGUCGAGGGGCAGCACGUCUUCGGAUGGUGGCGACCGGCGCACGGGUGAGUAACGCGUAUGCAAUCUACCUUUUACAGGGGCAUAGCCCGGGGAAGCCCGGAUUAAUAUCCUAUAGUGCCAUUAUAUAGCAUUAUAUUAUGGUUAAAGUUUCGGCGGUAAAAGAUGAGCAUGCGUCCUAUUAGCUUGAUGGUAAGGUAACGGCUUACCAUGGCUAUGAUAGGUAGGGGUCCUGAGAGGGAGACCCCCCACACUGGUACUGAGACACGGACCAGACUCCUACGGGAGGCAGCAGUGAGGAAUAUUGGACAAUGGGCGCAAGCCUGAUCCAGCCAUGCCGCGUGCAGGAAGACGGCCCUAUGGGUUGUAAACUGCUUUUAUACGGGAAGAAACACCCCUUCGUGAAGGGACUUGACGGUACCGUAUGAAUAAGGAUCGGCUAACUCCGUGCCAGCAGCCGCGGUAAUACGGG